AUGGUGUCUCAAACCCAGGUUCUCAUGGCCCUGUUGUUCUGGGUUUCUGGUGCCUGUGCAGAUAUUGUGAUGACCCAGUCUCCAUCCUCCCUGGCUGUGCCAGCAGGAGAGAAGGUCACCAUCAGCUGCAGGUCCAGUCAGAGUCUUUUAGCUGGUGGUACUAACUACUUGGCUUGGUACCAGCAGAAACCAGGACAGGCUCCUAAACUACUGAUCUACUAUGCAUCCACUCGGUACACUGGGGUCCCUGAUCGUUUCACAGGCAGUGGAUCUGGGACAGAUUUCACUCUCACCAUCAGCAGUGUCCAGGCUGAAGACCUGGCAGAUUAUUACUGUAUGCAAGCUAAUGAGUAUCCUCCCACAGUGCUUCAGCCUUGA